rfam:Arabidopsis lyrata subsp. lyrata unplaced genomic scaffold ARALYscaffold_4, whole genome shotgun sequence.
AUGACAAAUUGGAUGUUCAAAAUUUAAGUUCUGGUGAUGUGAGAAGCACAGGUGAAGAACAACACAGUGAAGAACAUCCUUCGAGUAGAAAAAAGACGUUUCGUUUUUCUUUUGAUGAUGAUGACAU